ensembl:lncRNA LINC02334 long intergenic non-protein coding RNA 2334
GGCGGGGGAUGGUGCCUGCGAUCCCCAAAACCCCAAAGGGCGUUUUUUACAGUGCUCUUUUAGCUCUGCUGACCGCGGAUGGCUUAAGUGUUAACAGCUCAGUGGGCCCUUUGCCUUUUCUCAUGAGUCGGCUGCCCUGUGCCAGCAAGGGCAAAGGGCCAGUGUAACAGCCUUUUGUAUCUGCACUCGUGGCUCCUGAGCUCCUGUUCGGCACACAGGAAAAAUGAGGUCGCACCAACAAACUGAAGGAUGGUAAAUGUUGAGGAUUUUAUUGCCAAUGAAAGCGGCUGUCACUGGGAGCUGAAAAGGUAAUGGAAAGCUGAAAAGCGGAUAAGGUGGGUAGGUACCUGAAGUCUGGCCAUCUACGGCAGCUGGAUUCUUCUCCAAAGUUAUACUGUCAAGCUGUCCCUCUGAAGCCAAGCCACUUCUCUUUGACAUCCAGCCGUAGUCUCUGCUCCUCUCCAACUGAGUAUGAGAUACCAAUUUAGCUAACUUCACCAGAAAAAUACUUUAUCAGAAGUCUGCUAUGUGGUUCGAGCAUUAUCAGGAAUUUUAAAGAACCAAGCACAGAAAAGUCAGAAAAUUAGAAAAGGCAAGGAACAGCUAAUGUCCCAUCACAGGGAGAUGUUUCCUAUUAUCCUUGAUAAUGUGCCAUGAACAUAUGAAAAAACAUAGAAACAUGAAGAAAACAAGAAGACAAAAAUCACUAACAUCUGGUUGGCUGUAUAGAAACAAAGCUGAUUCUGGUUGGAGUGCAGUGGUAAGAUCACAGCUCACUGCUGCCUUGACUUCCUGGGCUCAAGUGAUUCUCCUGCCUCAGUCUCCUCAGUAGCUCGGACUACAGCUUGCAAAUGGAUCUUACAGACGUUGUCACAGAGACAAGAAAAGCAUAUAAAAAAAUAAAUAAA